rnacentral:rRNA from 1 species
GACGGAGGAUGCAAGCGUUAUCCGGAAUGAUUGGGCGUAAAGCGUCUGCAGGUGGCAGUUCAAGUCUGCUGUCAAAGACCGGGGCUUAACUUCGGAAAGGCAGUGGAAACUGAACAGCUAGAGUAUGGUAGGGGCAGAGGGAAUUCCUGGUGUAGCGGUGAAAUGCGUAGAGAUCAGGAGGAACAUCGGUGGCGAAGGCGCUCUGCUGGACCAUAACUGACACUCAGGGACGAAAGCUAGGGGAGCGAAUGGG